rnacentral:rRNA from 1 species
AACCGGAUUAGAUACCCUGGUAGUCCACGCCCUAAACGAUGUCUACUAGUUGUCGGGUUUUAAUUAACUUGGUAACGCAGCUAACGCGUGAAGUAGACCGCCUGGGGAGUACGGUCGCAAGAUUAAAACUCAAAGGAAUUGACGGGGACCCGCACAAGCGGUGGAUGAUGUGGAUUAAUUCGAUGCAACGCGAAAAACCUUACCUACCCUUGACAUGUACGGAAGGCCGAAGAGAUUUGGUUGUGCUCGAAAGAGAACCGUAACACAGGUGCUGCAUGGCUGUCGUCAGCUCGUGUCGUGAGAUGUUGGGUUAAGUCCCGCAACGAGCGCAACCCUUGUCAUUAGUUGCUACAUUAAGUUGAGCACUCUAAUGAGACUGCCGGUGACAAACCGGAGGAAGGUGGGGAUGACGUCAAGUCCUCAUGGCCCUUAUGGGUAGGGCUUCACACGUCAUACAAUGGUACAUACAGAGGGCCGCCAACCCGCGAGGGGGAGCUAAUCCCAGAAAGUGUAUCGUAGUCCGGAUCGCAGUCUGCAACUU